rnacentral:rRNA from 1 species
AUUGAACGCUGGCGGCAGGCCUAACACAUGCAAGUCGAGCGGUAGAGGAUAGCUUGCUAUCCAAAGCAGCGGCGGACGGGUGAGUAACGCGUGGGAAUCUACCUAGUAGAGGGGGACAACUCGGGGAAACUCGAGCUAAUACCGCAUACGCCCUACGGGGGAAAGGAGGGGAUCUUCGGACCUUCCGCUAUUAGAUGAGCCCGCGUUAGAUUAGCUAGUUGGUAGGGUAAAGGCCUACCAAGGCGACGAUCUAUAGCUGGUCUGAGAGGAUGAUCAGCCACACUGGGACUGAGACACGGCCCAG